rnacentral:rRNA from 1 species
UACAGAGGUGGCAAGCGUUGUUCGGAAUUACUGGGCGUAAAGGGCGCGUAGGCGGCCUUCUAAGUCAGACGUGAAAUCCCCCGGCUUAACCUGGGAACUGCGUCUGAUACUGGAAGGCUUGAGUGCGGGAGAGGGAUGUGGAAUUCCAGGUGUAGCGGUGAAAUGCGUAGAUAUCUGGAGGAACACCGGUGGCGAAGGCGGCAUCCUGGACCGACACUGACGCUGAGGCGCGAAAGCUAGGGUAGCAAACAGG